UCAGGAUGAACGCUGGCGGCGUGCUUAACACAUGCAAGUCGAACGAUGACCCGGUGCUUGCACCGGUGAUUAGUGGCGAACGGGUGAGUAACACGUGAGUAACCUGCCCUUAACUCUGGGAUAAGCCUGGGAAACUGGGUCUAAUACCGGAUAUGACUCCUCAUCGCAUGGUGGGGGGUGGAAAGCUUUAUUGUGGUUUUGGAUGGACUCGCGGCCUAUCAGCUUGUUGGUGAGGUAAUGGCUCACCAAGGCGACGACGGGUAGCCGGCCUGAGAGGGUGACCGGCCACACUGGGACUGAGACACGGCCCAGACUCCUACGGGAGGCAGCAGUGGGGAAUAUUGCACAAUGGGCGAAAGCCUGAUGCAGCGGCGCCGCGUGAGGGAUGACGGCCUUCGGGUUGUAAACCUCUUUCAGUAGGGAAGAAGCGAAAGUGACGGUACCUGCAGAAGAAGCGCCGGCUAACUACGUGCCAGCAGCCGCGGUAAUACGUAGGGCGCAAGCGUUAUCCGGAAUUAUUGGGCGUAAAGAGCUCGUAGGCGGUUUGUCGCGUCUGCCGUGAAAGUCCGGGGCUCAACUCCGGAUCUGCGGUGGGUACGGGCAGACUAGAGUGAUGUAGGGGAGACUGGAAUUCCUGGUGUAGCGGUGAA
rnacentral:rRNA from 1 species